AGUGUUGUGGUUGUAGAGGAUGUGAGUUGAUGGUCACUAGACUCCAUGAUUUCCAGUGUUGUGGUUGUAGAGGAUGUGAGUUGAUGGUCACUAGACUCCAUGAUUUCCAGUGUUGUGGUUGUAGAGGAUGUGAGUUGGUGGUCACUAGACUCCAUGAUUUCCAGUGUUGUGGUUGUAGAGGAUGUGAGUUGUUGGUCACUAGACUCCAUGAUUUCCAGUGUUGUGGUUGUAGAGGAUGUGAGUUGGUCACUAGACUCCAUGAUUUCCAGUGUUGUGGUUGUAGAGGAUGUGAGUUGGUGGUCACUAGACUCCAUGAUUUCCAGUGUUGUGGUUGUAGAGGAUGUGAGUUGAUGGUCACUAGACUCCAUGAUUUCCAGUGUUGUGGUUGUAGAGGAUGUGAGUUGGUCACUAGACUCCAUGAUUUCCUGUGUUGUGGUUGUAGAGGAUGUGAGUUGAUGGUCACUAGACUCCAUGAUUUCCAGUGUUGUGGUUGUACAGGAUGUGAGUUGGUCACUAGACUCCAUGAUUUCCAGUGUUGUGGUUUUACAGGAUGUGAGGAGGGUUGUACAGGAUGUGAGGAGGGUUGUACUGAUCUGUAGCGGCUGUGAUCUGUAACCCUGUGAUCUGUAGCGGCUGUGAUCUGUAGCGGCUGUGAUCUGUAGCGGCUGUGAUCUGUAACCCUGUGAUCUGUAGCGGCUGUGAUCUGUAACACUGUGAUCUGUAACACUGUGAUCUGUAGCGGCUGUGAUCUGUAACACUGAUCUGUAGCGGCUGUGAUCUGUAACACUGAUCUGUAGCGGCUGUGAUCUGUAACACUGAUCUGUAACACUGAUCUGUAACACUGAUCUGUAACGGCUGUGAUCUGUAACGGCUGUGAUCUGUAACCCUGUGAUCUGUAGCGGCUGUGAUCUGUAGCGGCUGUGAUCUGUAGCGGCUGUGAUCUGUAACCCUGUGAUCUGUAGCGGCUGUGAUCUGUAACACUGUGAUCUGUAACACUGAUCUGUAACUGUGAUCUGUAACAGCUGUGAUCUGUAACGGCUGUGAUCUGUAGCGGCUGUGAUCUGUAGCGGCUGUGAUCUGUAGCGGCUGUGAUCUGUAUCGGCUGUGAUCUGUAGCGGCUGUGAUCUGUAGCGGCUAUGAUCUGUAACGGCUAUGAUCUGUAACACUGAUCUGUAACACUGUGAUCUGUAGCGGCUGUGAUCUGUAGCGGCUGUGAUCUGUAGCGGCUGUGAUCUGUAACAAUGAUCUGUAACACUGAUCUGUAACACUGAUCUGUAACACUGUGAUCUGUAGCGGCUGUGAUCUGUAACACUGUGAUCUGUAACACUGAUCUGUAACACUGAUCUGUAACACUGA